CCACCCCAGUACCUGUUACAUUUAUGUUUCUUUGACCACCCCAGUACCUGUUAAUACUGGGGUGGUCAAAGAAAUAUAAAUAUAACAGGUACUGGGGUGGU
rnacentral:pre_miRNA from 1 species